UUAAGCGACUAAGCGUACACGGUGGAUGCCCUGGCAGUCAGAGGCGAUGAAGGGCGUGCUAAUCUGCGAUAAGCGCCGGUAAGGUGAUAUGAACCGUUAUAACCGGCGAUACCCGAAUGGGGAAACCCAGUGUGAUUCGUCACACUAUCAUUAACUGAAUCCAUAGGUUAAUGAGGCGAACCGGGGGAACUGAAACAUCUAAGUACCCCGAGGAAAAGAAAUCAACCGAGAUUCCCCCAGUAGCGGCGAGCGAACGGGGAGGAGCCCAGAGCCUGAAUCAGCAUGUGUGUUAGUGGAAGCGUCUGGAAAGGCGUGCGAUACAGGGUGACAGCCCCGUACACAAAAGCGCAUGUGCUGUGAGCUCGAUGAGUAGGGCGGGACACGUGGUAUCCUGUCUGAAUAUGGGGGGACCAUCCUCCAAGGCUAAAUACUCCUGACUGACCGAUAGUGAACCAGUACCGUGAGGGAAAGGCGAAAAGAACCCCGGCGAGGGGAGUGAAAAAGAACCUGAAACCGUGUACGUACAAGCAGUGGGAGCCCCACCACUAAGCCAGUGGUGAACUCCACAUACGCAUCCUUUGCUGAGGAUACGGUUAACGGAGCGAAAGCGACGUUCAACCUCAAAAGAAGCAGAGGGGGCUUAGUGGUGGGGUGACUGCGUACCUUUUGUAUAAUGGGUCAGCGACUUAUAUUCUGUAGCAAGGUUAACCGUAUAGGGGAGCCGAAGGGAAACCGAGUCUUAACCGGGCGUUAAGUUGCAGGGUAUAGACCCGAAACCCGGUGAUCUAGCCAUGGGCAGGUUGAAGGUUGGGUAACACUAACUGGAGGACCGAACCGACUAAUGUUGAAAAAUUAGCGGAUGACCUGUGGCUGGGGGUGAAAGGCCAAUCAAACCGGGAGAUAGCUGGUUCUCCCCGAAAGCUAUUUAGGUAGCGCCUCGUGAACUCAUCUCCGGGGGUAGAGCACUGUUUCGGCUAGGGGGCCAUCCCGGCUUACCAACCCGAUGCAAACUGCGAAUACCGGAGAAUGUUAUCACGGGAGACACACGGCGGGUGCUAACGUCCGUCGUGAAGAGGGAAACAACCCAGACCGCCAGCUAAGGUCCCAAAGUCAUGGUUAAGUGGGAAACGAUGUGGGAAGGCCCAGACAGCCAGGAUGUUGGCUUAGAAGCAGCCAUCAUUUAAAGAAAGCGUAAUAGCUCACUGGUCGAGUCGGCCUGCGCGGAAGAUGUAACGGGGCUAAACCAUGCACCGAAGCUGCGGCAGCGACGCUGAUGCGUUGUUGGGUAGGGGAGCGUUCUGUAAGCCUGCGAAGGUGGCCUGUGAGGGUUGCUGGAGGUAUCAGAAGUGCGAAUGCUGACAUAAGUAACGAUAAAGCGGGUGAAAAGCCCGCUCGCCGGAAGACCAAGGGUUCCUGUCCAACGUUAAUCGGGGCAGGGUGAGUCGACCCCUAAGGCGAGGCCGAAAGGCGUAGUCGAUGGGAAACGGGUUAAUAUUCCCGUACUUGGUGUUACUGCGAAGGGGGGACGGAGAAGGCUAUGUUGGCCGGGCGACGGUUGUCCCGGUUUAAGCGUGUAGGUGUGUGUUCCAGGUAAAUCCGGUUCACUUUAACACUGAGGCGUGACGACGAGGCACUACGGUGCUGAAGCAACAAAUGCCCUGCUUCCAGGAAAAGCCUCUAAGCAUCAGGUAACAUCAAAUCGUACCCCAAACCGACACAGGUGGUCAGGUAGAGAAUACCAAGGCGCUUGAGAGAACUCGGGUGAAGGAACUAGGCAAAAUGGUGCCGUAACUUCGGGAGAAGGCACGCUGACAUGUAGGUGAAGUGAUUUACUCAUGGAGCUGAAGUCAGUCGAAGAUACCAGCUGGCUGCAACUGUUUAUUAAAAACACAGCACUGUGCAAACACGAAAGUGGACGUAUACGGUGUGACGCCUGCCCGGUGCCGGAAGGUUAAUUGAUGGGGUCAGCGCAAGCGAAGCUCCUGAUCGAAGCCCCGGUAAACGGCGGCCGUAACUAUAACGGUCCUAAGGUAGCGAAAUUCCUUGUCGGGUAAGUUCCGACCUGCACGAAUGGCGUAAUGAUGGCCAGGCUGUCUCCACCCGAGACUCAGUGAAAUUGAACUCGCUGUGAAGAUGCAGUGUACCCGCGGCAAGACGGAAAGACCCCGUGAACCUUUACUAUAGCUUGACACUGAACAUUGAGCCUUGAUGUGUAGGAUAGGUGGGAGGCUUUGAAGUGUGGACGCCAGUCUGCAUGGAGCCGACCUUGAAAUACCACCCUUUAAUGUUUGAUGUUCUAACGUGGACCCGUAAUCCGGGUUGCGGACAGUGUCUGGUGGGUAGUUUGACUGGGGCGGUCUCCUCCUAAAGAGUAACGGAGGAGCACGAAGGUUGGCUAAUCCUGGUCGGACAUCAGGAGGUUAGUGCAAUGGCAUAAGCCAGCUUGACUGCGAGCGUGACGGCGCGAGCAGGUGCGAAAGCAGGUCAUAGUGAUCCGGUGGUUCUGAAUGGAAGGGCCAUCGCUCAACGGAUAAAAGGUACUCCGGGGAUAACAGGCUGAUACCGCCCAAGAGUUCAUAUCGACGGCGGUGUUUGGCACCUCGAUGUCGGCUCAUCACAUCCUGGGGCUGAAGUAGGUCCCAAGGGUAUGGCUGUUCGCCAUUUAAAGUGGUACGCGAGCUGGGUUUAGAACGUCGUGAGACAGUUCGGUCCCUAUCUGCCGUGGGCGCUGGAGAACUGAGGGGGGCUGCUCCUAGUACGAGAGGACCGGAGUGGACGCAUCACUGGUGUUCGGGUUGUCAUGCCAAUGGCACUGCCCGGUAGCUAAAUGCGGAAGAGAUAAGUGCUGAAAGCAUCUAAGCACGAAACUUGCCCCGAGAUGAGUUCUCCCUGAGACUUAGAGUCUCCUGAAGGAACGUUGAAGACGACGACGUUGAUAGGCCGGGUGUGUAAGCGCAGCGAUGCGUUGAGCUAACCGGUACUAAUGAACCGUGAGGCUUAACCUU
rnacentral:rRNA from 1 species